GAUGAACGCUGGCGGCGUGCCUAAUACAUGCAAGUAGAACGCUGAAGGAAGGAGCUUGCUCUUUCCGGAUGAGUUGCGAACGGGUGAGUAACGCGUAGGUAACCUGCCUGGUAGCGGGGGAUAACUAUUGGAAACGAUAGCUAAUACCGCAUAACAGUAGAUGUUGCAUGAUAUCUACUUAAAAGGUGCAAUUGCACCACUACCAGAUGGACCUGCGUUGUAUUAGCUAGUUGGUGAGGUAACGGCUCACCAAGGCGACGAUACAUAGCCGACCUGAGAGGGUGAUCGGCCAAACUGGGACUGAGACACGGCCCAGACUCCUACGGGAGGCAGCAGUAGGGAAUCUUCGGCAAUAGACGGAAGUCUGACCGAGCAACGCCGCGUGAGUGAAGAAGGUUUUCGGAUCGUAAAGCUCUGUUGUAAGAGAAGAACGAGUGUGAGAGUGGAAAGUUCACACUGUGACGGUAUCUUACCAGAAAGGGACGGCUAACUACGUG
rnacentral:rRNA from 1 species